rnacentral:tRNA from 1 species
GGGGGAAUAGCAAAGAGGCCGACUGCGGCAGACUGUAAAUCUGUUAUCCCACACGGUGGUUCGAAUCCACCUUCCCCCACCA